UUCAACCCUCUCACCGUCUCACGCACCCUCUCUGCCUCUGCAUUCUCGGUUCACCUUCAUGGUAACUUUUUUGAUGUUGUUUCUUUUGCGUUUGCAUACAUAGUAUUAGCAUUUAGGUUUUAAGUUUCGGCGUCGAAGAAACUGAUAUCAAGCUUCCUCUGAGUAAGAAUGGGCUCUUCGUAUGAGCCGGCGCCACAGUUUUGUGUUUGAUUUUUUUGUUUUUAGGUUUUUCCGCUUUACUUUUGUUGUGAUUCAUAUUGGAUGUUAGGGAUUUGGGAUUGAAGUGAUGCUACUUUCCCCAUAUGAUCGAAGCAGAUUCAAACUUGCGCUAUUUUUAAUUUCCAAGCCAGAACUCUGAUCUUUCCCAAAUCCCAACAACUCAUUGUCAUCUAUUCUUCUUUUUGUUUCUUCGUCUUUUGAAUUUUCAAAUCUUUCUUCAGUUUGGGUUUUGAAAUUGUUUUUGUGUUUUGAAUGAUUUUUAUUUUUGAAAUUGGAAAAAACCAUAGAAAGAGAAGAUGGAAGUGAUGAUUAUUUCCCCAAAUGAUCGAAACUGAACAAACUGAGCGACUUAUAUCUCUGUAUUACACAGAGACACCAAGCCAGAUUCAAAGAAUGCUCAUAUAUUUCUGCUUGCGAAGAAGCACCGAGAACAACAUUUUCUGUAGAAGUCAAAGUUUUUGUAAAUGAUGAGAUUACGAGGGAGCAUUGGUUGUGGGAUUGAAAGCGACAUUGGUUAAGUGCUUUGAUAAUUGGCAUCCAAAAGUUUUAUUUUAAUAGUUGGCUUUUGAUGAUAAAACUUUCUUAAUUCUGUCCUUAGGAAGCAGAAUUGAAAGGUUUAUUCUUCAAGUACUCGGAAGUUUCAUCAUUUUUCGUUUUUUUCCCCUUUCGAUUUUGCUGUUUUCGGCUAGAAUGUGUUUUUUUAAUAAAUAUAAGGGUUUAUUUCUGUUAAAUUGCUGAAGUGGCAUGUGACGUGGGUGAAACAAUGUUUUAUAAAUUAAAAAUUACUAAACUGAAAAA